ensembl:lncRNA
UUUUAAUUUGAGUCGCAUUCAAUUAAGUGUCAAAGAGCAGAAACCCAUAUGACUGAGCUGAAGGCAUUGCAAGUUGUCUUUAAAGACCAAAAAAAAUCAACCGUCCAGUUUAUAGCAAAUUCAAUUUGAGGAUCUUUGUAGUGGUGUUUUUUUGAAUUGCAACAAUUAUAAUGGACACCAACAUCUAUUUUUGUGGGUAAUGUUACUUAAAAAAAUAUGGUGCUAUUGCAACAAAGAUCUGCAUGAUAAUUUGUCAGCUCAAUGUAUUCGCUCAGUUGGUGCCUUUUGAGUAUCUUAAGUCCCUAUAUUAAGUCCCUACAGAAUAAAGUAGGUUGCAUACACCUAUAUUCUGUGCUGGCUGCUCCUUCAUGUGUAAAACUGUUCUCUAAAGACUGCAGCCUCAACCCGCACCCAUAUUUUCCUAUUUUGCAGCUCAACUGUCAAUACUGGCUUACUCGAUAGUUAAUCUUGGUCAUUGACAGAUACCAGCGGUGAAGACUUUGAUGUUCAAUGGCAGUUUUCUUAUGUGUCCGGGAGUGAAAGGAAAUCUUUGAGCUUCUCCAAGGCUCAGAGAAAAAUAUGUGCCUGGCCCUGCAGGUUUAAAGCAAAUCUGACAGAAAGCUUUGAAGCCUUGUCAUUGCAUUUGAUGAAACCGAGGUAAGGAACAGCAGCGCCACGCCAUAGUGUGACAGGACAAAAAAUACACCUUUUUAGUGUGGGGGCUGCCUGUCCCCUUCCUGUUCCUUAAAUACAUGAUUCUGAAUCUACUGGAAGUAGCUUUGGAUAAACAUGUCUGCUAAAUGGUUAAACAGUAGCAUUCCUUCUAUAAAAUCCCUUUAACGCACCCAUCUAAUCAGGGAUUAGAUGAGGAAAACAGUUGGGUGACCUUUGACCUAGUUCCAUCAAAGCAAAACACUUUGGACAUUGGUCCAAAGUUCUGGCAGCCAACUACAGAGACCCAUGAGAAAUGCAAUCAUAUUUUGCAUAGGAUACUAGGGGAGAGAGAGAGAGAGAGAGAGAGAGAGAGAGAGAGAGAGAGAGAGCUAAACAAUGCUAAAAUAAUGUUUUUGCUACAGGGCAGGGCUGUCAUUUACAGUCCGAUGCUCGGCUAGCCUUGUUGACAUACCUCUCUCCCCAGAGCGACUUUCAAACUAGAGACAGGUAGGCCAAC